CUAAUUUUGCUGCGUUCUUGCUUUCAAUUUGCUAGGAUUAUUAGAUUAGAAUGGGUGUUUUCAGUCGAUCCAUUUUUCUGUGAACAUGUUGUCUGUUAUUUUGACUUCGAGCUAAGUUUUUCAGCAUUGAUUCGGCGCGGACAUGGUCGGUACUGAAGAAAACUUUCCAGCAUGGAUGUCGAAAGUCAUAAUUGAAAGAGUCACGAC
rnacentral:lncRNA from 1 species